rnacentral:rRNA from 1 species
UACAGAGGGUGCGAGCGUUGUCCGGAAUCAUUGGGCGUAAAGCGCGCGUAGGCGGCCAGAUAAGUCCGGUGUGAAAGUCACAGGCUCAACCUGUGAAUGCCGCUGGAAACUGUCUGGCUAGAGUCCGGAAGGGGCGAGUGGAAUUCCUGGUGUAGCGGUGAAAUGCGCAGAUAUCAGGAGGAACACCAAUGGCGAAGGCAGCUCGCUGGAACGGUACUGACGCUGAGGCGCGAAAGCGUGGGGAGCGAACAGG